UACGGGGGGAGCAAGCGUUGUUCGGAUUUACUGGGCGUAAAGGGCGCGUAGGCGGCCAGCACAAGUCAGUUGUGAAAUCUCCGAGCUUAACUCGGAACGGUCAACUGAUACUGUGCGGCUAGAGUGCGGAAGGGGCAACUGGAAUUCUCGGUGUAGCGGUGAAAUGCGUAGAUAUCGAGAGGAACACCUGCGGCGAAGGCGGGUUGCUGGGCUGACACUGACGCUGAGGCGCGAAAGCUAGGGGAGCGAACGGG
rnacentral:rRNA from 1 species